UUUUUAAAAGGUAAUCACACAAAAAUAUAAGCAAUUCUACAAUUUUAGAUACUUAUAUAAAUAAUAUUAUAAAAUAAUAUUUAUAUUUAUUAUUUUUUUUCUUAUUACACACGAUAACUUCCUUUUCUAAUAUUCAUUUUAGUUGAAAAAAUUGUUAAAGUAAACUUUAAAUAAAUUAUAAAAGAAUUCCAAAACUAGUAUUAAAGAGAACAAAAGAAAAUUUCUAACAAAGAAAGAAUAAUGUUAUUUAGCCAAAAAAAAAAGAAAUAAUCUAAAAAGUGUAAAAGAGUUAAAACGAAAAAAAAUACAGCUCAUUGAAGGCCUGGAAAUUGGGUGGGGUGGGGCACAGUUGAGCUUUUAAAAACCAACAAGCCACAAAGUUGAAUCAGUACAUAAUUUUGCUCAAAAGGUUUAUUAUUUAGUACGUGCCAUGUGCCGCACCCUUCCUACACGUGGAUCCGCCCCUGCAUGUAACAACAAUUAUAAUAUCUAUUAAAAACUAUGUUAUUGAAAAAUGAUUUAAGUAAUAAAAUAUUUAUAGAAACAAAAACCAAAAAUUAACUUAAAAAUCUCAAAUAAGAAAAAUAAUUAGUAUAAGAAACAAGUCUAUAAAGUAAACCGAUUAGUGGGUGUAUGUUAUAUCAAUACAGCAUUACCAAUACUCAAAAAGUAAGUUUGUAGGGAUUACUAUUUUAGAAAUCUAAAAGUUAUAAGUAAUAUUAAAAAUGUUAAAAAUGACUUCAUAUUCCAAAGUGUUGCAUAAAAUAUCAUUUACAGUUGUGUUUUGGGUUGUAUAAGCUCAGGUUAAAGCUUUGUGACAAAUGGAGGUAGUGUCUUAACUUGGCAGGGAAGAUGAUUGGUGAAACUGAUUGUGAUAUCAGUGGUAUAAAAAACCAAAGGAGGGAAGAAUAAGGUGGUUUCUGGUUUACUUACGUCAACUGAAAUCUGACGUGUCGAUUAUAAAGAAAUCUGGACAUGAAGCUCAAGGUUAAAGUUCUACUCGGAAGUCUCAAGAGAAUGUUUUUUCCAGACUGCUCCAGAAAUGGUACAUUCUUAACGGUCAGAAACUCGGUUUGUUAGUGUAAUACUUGAAGAUGGCAGCAGGAGUUCUGUUAUGAAUGGUCAAAAUUGAAAGUAACAAAGAGGAAUCUGGAGAUAUAGCAGAAGUGGUGCCUCAAGGUUUGACACAAUUUUCUCAUCCAAAGAGGAGGAAUUAUAAUAGAUGUCAAGUUGGUUCAGAUGAGUGGCGUAAGGUAGUAAAGGGAAGCGCCUUGGUGGAUCUUCUGGUAAAAACAGAUUCGUUGCAGUGGCUGCAGUGAAAAUGAGACAAUUAUCAAGUUUUAAGCCAUGAUUAAUCAAUAAGGCAGUGUUGUUUUAACUCUGAAAGGUGGAGCUAAGAUUGAGAAAUAUAUGAAGCUUUGACGGAUCGAAGCUUCAAGUGGAGUUUCUGCAAGUAAAUGAAGUACACGGCUACUUAAGAGGUUGAGUUGCAGGUGGAGUAAUGAAGUCAGACGGCUUCAGAGGAUGGUUAGCUCUUGGCAGGUAGGAGUUAAAAAGGAAUCACUGGUUUUGAUAGGCUUCAUGGGUGAUACAAGUCUGCAGAAAACAAAGAUCCAAGGUCAGAAAGAGAUUGUCAACAGGUUCAGUCACAGCUUGGUCUUCAUCAGAAGGUAAUAGAGUUGUCUGCUUAGGUCUGAUGGAGUGAUUGAUGAUGUUAAGGUCAUCUAGUGGUCAGUUGCAGGCAUCUCAAGGAUAAUGAGAUGGUAGUGUUAAUUUUUGAGAUGAGGACACGUUGAAAAAGGCUAGCUGCAGGGUCUGUUGCAGGGUCUGCAAGAACAGUUUCAGAGGCAUCGAUGCAAAGGAGCUUCAAAGUCAGGGUCAAAGGAUAAUGAAGUAUGGUCAUCUUAGAGAAGUUGAGCAACUGAAAUGCAUUCCUAAUUGAAUGGACAUCCAGAGAAGUCAAACUGCAUUGGGUUAAGAACAAGUGAGGUUUACUUGUGUCUUUGGAGCAUCACAAGAAAGGUUUUCGUCUCAGGAUAACAGAGAAGUUAUACUCAGUUGAGGUUUAUAGAUAUUCAAGGCUUGCUUGAAGAAUGAAAAUGAAUCAGAAUGAUGUACUGAUUGGGUCUGAGACAGAAUGUGAUGCAAACACCAAGUCUAGUGUGAUUUCUCAUACAAGUGAAGGUGUUUGAGGAUGGCACAGCAGAGAAGAGAUAUCAGGGUUCUAGAGGAUAUAUCUUAAGGGCUGCUGCAGAGUGAGUCUCACGAACACUACAAGAGGCAUUUGGUGUGAGACAUGGUGGAAAGAAGACGUCAGCAGUGAGGUUUAAGCUGUUGAUGCAGGUCUGUUUGAAGAUUGCUCGAGCCAGAGUUGUAUCCUUGAACCUUUCAGAAACGAUUCCGAACCCUUCAAGAAACGAUUCCGAACCCUCUAUUGGAAACAAUAGCGGAGCAGAGUGAUACUUUGAAGUUCAAACAAAUCACUGUAAGUACAAUCUCAGGUUUGAGUUAAAACUAACUAAAUGUUGGUUGAGUUUGUUUUGCAGGUAUGAAUCAAGAAUUGCUUCAGGUUGAAGCAUGUAUGGUUCAAGGACCUGUUGCAAAUGAUUCAAGGGAGCUUGUUUCUAAGGUAAAGAUAGAUAAUAUCGAUAUCAUGACUAGCAAGACAACACAAUUGGAUUUCUUUGGAGGACUUAAAACACAAGCCAUAAAUGAUGGAUCUAUCCGAGGGCCUAUGCAUAUGUUUAUGCAGUCGGCAUCAGUUUUACAAUGGCAUUUGUACUGACAUCUAGCUGAAAAAUUAUUUGAAACAAAUAAUAUGAAUAGUUUGUUAAAAAAAAAUAACUGAUUCUAUCUAGCGUUAUUAUUUAUAUGGAAAAGAAGAUGAUUAAAAUAUUA